rnacentral:rRNA from 1 species
UUCCGGUUGAUCCUGCCGGAGGUUACCGCUCUGGGAGUCGGACUAAGCCAUGCUAGCGGAGGGCAGUUCGGCUGCCCCGCGUAUAGCUCAGUAACACGUGGUCAAUCUACCCUUGGGAUCGGAAUAACCCCGGGAAACUGGGGAUAAUUCCGAAUAGGCGGGGGUUCUGGAAAUGUCCCUCGCUGAAACGCUCCGGCGCCCAAGGACGAGACCGCGGCCGAUUAGGUAGUUGGUGAGGUAAAGGCUCACCAAGACAAAGAUGGGUACGGGCCCUGAGAGGGGGAGCCCGGAGAUGGGAACUGAGACAAGGUCCCAGGCCAUACGGGGCGCAGCAGGUGCGAAAAUUCCGCAAUGCGUAAAAGCGCGACGGAGUGACUCCCAGUGCCGAUGGUCUACCGACCGUCGGCUUUUCCGGAACGUAAAAAGUUUCGGGUAAUAAGGGCCGGGUAAGACUGGUGCCAGCCGCCGCGGUAACACCAGCGGCUCAAGUGGUAACCGCU